GGCCGGUUAGUUCAUUUGUCUGAUUAUGGUGCUGAUAACACCAAGGUCACGGGUUCGAUUCCCGUUCAGUCCC
rnacentral:tRNA from 1 species